UCUCAAGGUUUCUAAACGUGUGUCCUGAUCGUCAAUAUUUAACCUCUAAGGCCUCCGAGCAAUUAAUUCUUCAAAGGACCAAAAGCUGAAAUUCAGAUUCUGGACUGCUCAUCUUCUUUACCAGAUUCCGGCGCCCGCCGCGGGUCACCGCCUGUGAAAUCCACCACCAUCACGAAGCUGACGUUUCAAGCUUUCCAACGGCACCUCCCAAACAUUGAAAUUCAAUCUAUACGUUCUUCAAACAAUUAAUUGUUUGAAGAACCCAAAACCUAAAACCUAAAUUCUGCAACCUUGUCUUAUUCUUCGGAUUCCGGCCACCACCGCCAAUCAUCUGAUGCGACCACCACCGGAGGCAAUCUGAUCAUAAUAUCCCCUUCCUAAAGCCUUCUUCACGCAACCCUAAUCCUGCCAAUAAUUCGAAUUGGGGAUUCCAAUUCCAACCUCAAAUUUGUUUCAUAUACCCCACUCCUCUAAACCUCUUGCAUGAAUUUGAUUUUUCAAUCAAUUUCUGUAAUUUUAGCCAAGAAUCGAGACAGAGGAAGAGAGAGUAGGCGAGAGAGAAAGAGAGAGCGAGAGUGAUGAUGAGAAAGCGAGAGAGUGAAGAUGAGAGAGGAGAGAACAUGAGAUGGGUAUAAAUACACGAACGAGUGAGAUGGGUUAUGAUUUCCCGUUAUUGCAUUUAGGCCCUCCAACUCCUUGGUCUUUAUUGUUUAUCCUUUCUCAAAUAUAUAAUAUAUAAAUGAGUACCCAAACUUAGGUAAAUAUAUACCGAGGCCCGAAUUUGGAAUCGUAAUAAAUAAAAAUACGGGGUGUUACAUGUUAUAUGAUAGCCGCCAUGCUAGACCUCGUGGGUCGUAAGUAUGUUUGGACCGUGGCCACGUUUUAAUGGAGGACCCAUCGAAAACAAGUAGAUAAAUUUUGAGUAAUCAAGCUGGCCAGGUUAUAUAGAUUCCCAUAAUAUCUCUAAGUGUUUCUAUGGUUGUAAUCGUGCUAACUUGAGCUUGCGAUUAUAUAGUGAAUUUCGGGCGAGUUGUCUUGCAGCGAAGUUAUUGGAGCAUUAGAUGACGCGCGACUGAGGACCGUGCGGAUUGAGGUUGCUCUGAGCGAGUUGUCUCCUCAUGGGAGUUGUCUCGCAGCGAGUCUUAUUAUCGAGCGAGGUGGCUGCACUUGUGAGUCGCAUUGCAACGGGUUCGUAGCGCCGAUCGAGUUGUAUCCUCGUGGGAGUUCUCUCGCUGCGGGUUCGUAGCACCGAGGGAGUUGACUUCUCAUGGGAUUUUUCUCGCAGGGGGUUGUAGGACCGAGCGAGUGGUCUCCUCGUGGGAGUUGUCUCGCUGCGGGUCGUCGGUCCGAGCGAGUUAUCUCCUCGUGGGAGUUGUCUCGCUGCGUGUUGCAGGACCGAGCGAGUUGUCUCCUCUUGGGAGUUGUCUCGCUGCUGGUUGUAGGACUGAGCGAGUUGUUUCCUCGUGGGAGUUGUCUCGCUGCGGGAUGUAGGACAGAGCGAGUUUGCUCCUCGUGGGAGUUGUCUCGCUGCUGGUUGUAGGACCGAGCGAGUUUGCUCCUCAUGGGAGUUGUCUCGCUGCUGGUUGUAGGACCGAGCGAGUUUGCUCCUCAUGGGAGUUGUCUCGCAAGGGUUGUAGGACGGAGCGAGUUCUCUCCUCGUGGGAGUUAUCUCGCUAUGGUUUCGUAGACCUUAGGGAGUUGGCUCCUUGUGUAGGUAGUAGUACCGAGGGAGUUGGCUCCUCGUGGGAGUUUUCUCGCUACGGGUUGUAGUUCCGAGCGAGUUGGCUCCUUGUGUAGGUAGUAGUACCAAGGGAGUCGGCUCCUCGUGGGAGUUUUCUCGCUACGGGUUGUAGUUCCGAGCAAUUUGGCUCCUCGUGGGAAUUGUAUCGCUGCGGGUUCGUAGUACCGAGCGAGUUGGCUCCUCGUGAGAGUUGUACCGCAAGCACCCCACUCUCGAGUCAAUGUGGGAGCUAAGGCGAAAAGUGUACCGGAUCGUGUCGAGAGUAGAUCGGUGUCGUUGUGUUCUUUUAGUCGCUAGCAUGGCGUGGACGAAUAAUAAUUUUUACUUUCUCUGCGGAGAACGAGCGCUAUUAGGUGGGACGCGUUGGAAUCCUUGCGCGAUUUGGUAGAGCGCGUUGAAAUUCCUGCGCGGUGGUGCGCAGUGGAAGUUGCGCGUGAAUAAGUGAGUGGAGGGAGGCGCGCGUAUCUAGGAUGCACAUGUGGAUCGAUUGAUCGUAGGUCGAGGUGGCACAGUAGAGAAUCACGUGGAUCGAGGUAGCGGGCGUGAAUAAAGGUUCCGCGGUGGAGGAAGAGCACACGCACGUAGCGCGGUUGGAGAUGUCGGAGCGUGCGCUGCGCAAUUAGCGCGGAAUCAAGUUGAGAGUAGAUCGGUGUUGUAGUUUUGUGUUAAUCAUUGUCGUGAAAUAAUAAUAAUAAAGAUAUUAUUAUUCAUUCUCUUCUUUUUUUUUUUCUAUUUUUCUUUAUUGUUUUUUUUUCUUUUUUUUUUUUUUGCGGCGCAGAGCGCGUGCAUGAUGGGGAGCGGGGCGCGGGCGUGCUGGGUAUCCGGGGCGCGGGGCGCAAGGCAUGCGCGCGGCAUAGUUAAUGUGUCGCGGACGUGCGCGCGACCAGUGGGGCAGGGAACGGGGCGCGCGCGGCAAGGGGCCGACACAUGCGACGCAAGGGCGCGGGGCGGGCGCGCGUCGGGGAGCGGGGCGCGCGCGCGGGGAGCGUGGCGCGAGCGGGUGCGCGCGUCAUGGAGCAGGGCGCGGGCGUGCGCGUCGGGGGCGGGGCGCGGGCGUGCGCGUGUUGGUGCGCGGGGAGCGCGCGCGCACGGGGUUGUCGGGGGCGGCGGUGCGCGCGCAAGCGUGUUGGGGCGCGAGCGCGGGACGGAUGCUGGGGCCCGGGGCGCGCGCUUGCGGGUGGAUGGGGUGCGCGCCUGCUGGCGGUGAAGCGCGGGGGGCGCGCUUCCGAUUAACUGGGUCGCGCGACCGGGUUCAGUUUUUUUCUUUUUUUUCUUUUUUUUCUUUAUCUUUUCUUUUUUCUUCGUCUUUCUUCUUUUUCUUUCUUCUUAUCUUCUUUUUUUUUUUUUUCUUUUUCUUCUUUUUCUUUUUUCUUUUUUCUUCAUCUUCUUCUUUUUUCUUCUUCUUUCUUCUUUUUCUUUCUUCUCCUUUUUUAUCAAAAACAUACUCAAAUUCGACACAAUUUAACACUUACCAAUAGUUUUUGAGGUCUUGUACGAGUUUUGUGAAGGAAUGAUUCCCAAAUUAGCACUCCAAACCCUUUGAUUUCGGCUUCGAAAACAGGUGUGGCAGCAUAUUUUGUUUUCCCUAAAGUUUCAGUGAGCAGCUGUACUUCUCGUCAAAUUCCAGCAACCACCGCCGAUUAAUACUACCGAGCUCCAACACCAAUGGAAGGCUAACAUCUCAAGGUUUCUAAUUGUGUGUCCUGAUCGUCUAUAUUCAACCUCUAAGGCCUCCGAGAAAUUAAUUCUUCAAAGGACCAAAAGCUGAAAUUCAGAUUCUGGACUGCUCAUCUUCUUUACCAGAUUCCGGCGAUCGCCGCGGGUCACCGCCGGUGAAAUCCACCACUUUCACGAAGCUGACGUUCCAAGCUUUCCAACGCCUCCCAAACAUUGAAAUUCAAUCUAUACGUUCUUCAAUCAAUUAAUUGUUUGAAGAACCCAAAACCUAAAACCUAAAUUCUGCAACCUUGUCUUAUUCGCCGGAUUCCGGCCACCACCGCCAAUCAUCUGAUGCGACCACCACCGGAGGCAAUCUGAUCAUAAUAUCCCCUU
rnacentral:lncRNA from 1 species